GGAACUGUACAGGAACUGUACAGGAAGACACAUGCUCAGAAUGGCCCCCCUUCUCCUCCCCAGCUCACACCCCACUGACUCAGCAAGCCCAGAGCCACCCCUUCGCACCCCUUCCUGGCCCAGUGCACCCCCAAACCGGCCGUGCAAGCACACCCUUCAGACUUUGUAGCUGCUUUUAUUAUUAAUAUUAUCUUUUCCUUUAAACAUCCCUUUAAGGGUGAAAUGAAAUCCAACCAUUUACAGAGAAAAUGAUUUCAGAAUGUACAUAUUGAUUUUUCCCUUACAAAAAAAAUAAUACUAUUGUUAUUACUGGUGUCCUUAACUUACACGUUUCCCAGGGCCCUGCCUGCUGCUCGGGCAAGUUGUGUUUCCCCACCCCGACGGUCACCUUUGCCCCCAAAGCUCUCCCACGCCUGCCCGUGGGAACCAGCGUGACCCGAGGGCGGGCCGGGCCUCCUUGAGGCUGGAGGCCAUCGGGCCAGUGGUUCCCUGGGGAAGAAAGCUGGCUCUGGCGACAGGGCCAGCAGUGCGCUGGCGGUCACAUUCACAGUUUGGCUUCCCUUUAAUACUGGGGGAGUGGCCCAGGGUUCCCCUGCCCCCGAAAUUCCCAGUGUAUGAUGUGAGUAAAAGUGAAAUUCUUCAACCCCAUGCCUUGGCUCUAAGCUCCUCCCCAAUUCCUUCUCCUGCCCCUGAGCCAGUGGACCGGAGGCCAGGGCCCCCCGGCCAGCCUGGAGAAGGGGGCAGAGAGGUAGCGGGCUUGCAGCUGUACAGCCCUCAGGCCAGGCGGCUUCUUAUUCCAUGGACUGAAAGACAGACAGACAGAUGGCCCCCACGUCCCCUUUCGCCUUGCUUUCCAGGCUCCCCAAGUGGCUGUCAGCCUCAGUCGUUUUGGGGAGUUGCAGGAGGUGUGGCCACAGGCUCCAGGUCCCCGGAAAGGGGCGGCCUGGGCCCUGCUCUCACCUCCACACACAAGCAUCUAUGUACAGGGACACACCGACGUAGACACGUACAAGUACACACCAAGCAUGCACCCAUGCCCAUAAAUACACACACACGCGCACAAACGGGCACCAUUCCACAGGUAGGCUCUGCGUCCUGGCAUUACUGGGUAAACGCCUGAGGGGGCUUGGGGGAGGGGGUGUUCAUCCUGCCCACAACUGCAGGCUCUCACCACACCCGGGCCCUGGGUGGCCAGUGAGGCGGCGGAAGCACUCAUUCUACCCUCUGUCCUCCCCCUCUGCCAGCCAUGCUCCUCGUCCCCACACCCAUCCCCUCCUCCUUCCUUUAAGAAAUGAACGGGGCAGCCCAGCCGAAAACUACUCUUCCCAGCUUCCCUUGCAGCUACUAGCAGCCAUGUGACUAAGUCCUGGCCAGUGAGAUGCCAUCAGAAGUGACUGUGCCACCUCUAGCUCAUGCUCUUACCAGAAAGGGUGUGCCCUCCCCAUGUCUAUUCUGAGUCCCCCAGGCGUGGACGCACACAUGACGGUGGGCGCUGCAGCAACCCCUCUGUCUGGAAUUGGAAGGUGUGACAAAGGGCAGACAGCAGAGCUGCCUGCUAGAGCCAGGCCGUCUCCCUCCCCGGGGGGGGAGUUAGAAACAGGCUUCGGCCUUCCUUCACUCACUGUAUUUUGGGGUCUCUUAAUUACAGCGGUUUAGAAUCUACUCUAGCAAAUACAUCCCCCUCCCCCAUGAGGCAACGAAGGAAUGAGGUGACACAGGACUGGCCUUACUGUCCCUCUUGGGCCGAGGGCAGGCUUGUGGCUCCUUCCUGGCCCCGAGGCAGCCCCAAGGAGGGGCACUUGGGUGACUCCACCUGUGACGGUGGAGAGCUGGCACUGUGGGUUCCAGUGGGAAGGGGUGAUGGGGAGGGGGAGGCUCCUCCCCCCGGGUCUGACCUACGAGGUUGGCUGAUGGUCCCGUCCCAUUCUGAGAGCUGGACACCUGGCCUUGCCAGGACUGGGGGGUGGGGGGUGGGUGGCACAAGAUGGAGGUAUAAAACGGAAGGAAUGUCAAGGGCAGGUCUGGAACCAAAAGGAAGACU
rnacentral:lncRNA from 1 species